AUUGAACGCUGGCGGCAGGCCUAACACAUGCAAGUCGAGCGAGCGGCGGACGGGUGAGUAAUGGCUGGGAAACUGCCUGAUGGAGGGGGAUAACUACUGGAAACGGUAGCUAAUACCGCAUACCAUCAGAUGUGCCCAGAUGGGGUUAGCUAGUAGGGGGGGUAACGGCUCACCUAGGGGACGAUCUCUAGCUGGUCUGAGAGGAUGACCAGCCACACUGGAACUGGGACCCGGUCCAGACUCCUACGGUAGGCAGCAUUGGGGAAUAUUGCAUCAUGGGCGCGAGCCUGAUGCAGCCAUGCCGCGUGUGUGAAGAAGUCCUUCGGGUUGUAAAGCACUUUCAGCGGGGAGGCGUUACCCGCAGAAGAAGCACCGGCUAACUCCGUGCCAGCAGCCGCGGUAAUUC
rnacentral:rRNA from 1 species